UUGUCUGCAAGUGUAACCUACCGUCACGCCUUGCGAUGGAACUGUAGUUAGACCGGACGGACCGUAACUAUGACAUUCGGUUCUUAUCUCUCCGACCAAACCCCACGAAGUGUAGUUAGACACAAGAGAGCUUAAAGCGUUUUUGCUAGGUAAGCCUUGAGAGCGAUGCGUGGGGAAGUAGUAGAACUCGUCCACGUCGAAGAACCCGACCCAGUUGCAUUCAUCUUUGGCUCUAACCGCACAAUGCGAGAAACCAGCUUCUUGAGUCUUGAUCCACGGCCAGACGUGUCGGCUCACAUUGUAAUUCUCUGAGUUGAGCAAUUCAAUCUCCUCUUGUAUAUCGUCGUCGCUGUUGUUGUCGUAUAUAAACCAACGCUCGACGCCUAGCCACGAGUGGUACAUAAUCCAUUCACGCAAGAAGGGAGCUUGGUUCCAUAGCAUCGUGCAAACACAAAGCUCAUGCUUCUUCACCUUCACCACACUACUCUUCUCGGAACCGUAGACUCGCGCUACGGAUGGUAAAGCAGGCGUGGAUUUUCCUCUAGGAUCGAUGUGGAUCACGCUCACUCGAAACAUCUCCGGAUUUAGCUUCAAGCUCUCAGGCAAAACACACCUCACAACUUCUUGCGCUGCAGCGAGAGCUUGAGUGACAAACACUUCAACACCUGUCUCGAACUGACAUUUGUAGUAAGAAGGAUCUGACUCCUUGUGAGGUCUUCGAGUCAAUCCUUUGACGAAUACAACCACCGUGUCGCCGUCGAUCACUGCCUCGUAACCAACUUUGGCCCAAUCAUGAACCUUCUUCUCAUCACUCAGCUUCUUCUUCUUCUUCACCAAAUCUCCGUCGAAUUGGAGAUCAAGAGAUGAAGAAUAGUUCAAAGGAGCGUUAGGGCACCGAACAACCGAUCUGAACUCAUCGAAUUCAUCACUAGAGAUCGACGGCAACACCAAAGUCUCUUCCUUUCUUCCUCCGUGAUAAACACAAACUAGUUCCUUCCCACCUCUCCCGAUUCUGGUGGAGAGAAUCAGCAGCACAUGGUCGGGGAAUUGGACUCUGUCUUCGACUCUCAGCGGAGGGAAUCUACCGUGAAACGAACGUUGAAUCGAAUCCAUCGAAGACAAGACGGAGAGAGCAGGGACGCGGAGAGACGGUCUCAGAGAAUCGGAACGGACAGAGAUUCGGUCGGAGGAUAAGAAGAAGAAGAGCAAGACGAAGAAACAGCAAAGGCAUAUCGUUAGAUACCUUAGAGACAAGAACUGUGCUUUAGGUUGAUGCUGAUGCUGUCUGUUCCGAACUUUCCUCUUCUUCCCAUGCUCAUACUCCAACAUCAUCUUCUUCCUCUUCUUUCUUUUUUUUUUCUCCACUAAAUUUAUAUAAAAAUCAAAACUUUUUCUUCUGGGUGGGCGGGGAUAGAGCAGGGUGCUAUAAUAAACUGAUCUGAAGAAGGUUUUAGUCGGGGGAGAAGAGAUCUGGUUUUUGCGCAGGCCGACCAAAGUACCUUGUUCUUCUACUAAAGAAGGAAUAUAUAUAUUUAAUUUAAUGAAUUUCCUUUUCCUUUUCCUUUUCUGAAAUAAUCGUUUUGUGAUAGAGAAAGGAAAAGAAACAAGGAAGACGCGUUUGUGUUGUGAUGAGUCGCGUUAGGCGUCGGCGUUUUGCAAUAAUAUUGGAAAGCCACCGAUUAAUACUAAUGAUUUUCCGAUUACGUCAUUUUCUAAUGGAUUAAUGAUUUUUUGUUGUUUGUUUAGUAAUGAAGGCGAGAAAGAUGCCACUAGUUUUGCGACCUGUGGCCAUCCAAAGAUGCUUACAACGAGGUGGACCAUUAUCGUCUUUUUUAUUUAUGUACUGUAUAUUUAUAAUGUUUUGGGUUUGAAAAAAAGAGGCCUAUGAUUCUCCGACAGUUGUGUUGCGUGGUCUUUUAGUUAAUUGUUUCUCAAUAUUCGCCGGAGGGGAGGACCAACCCUGUUGGUACAAAGCAAGAUUGUGAUUAUAUUAUCAAUUUGAUUCCAGUGUGUGUAUCUACACAAUUGGUCGGUUUGGGUUGAUGAGUUAAAAAUUACAGAGAAAAAUGACAGAAAGGCCGUAUUCUUUUAAAUGACGUUAUAGGAUACUUCCUCCGGAUACGAAUGUACGAUGUUCCAUCUUUUUAUCUUGGAUAUAAAUAUAUGAUGUUUUGAGAUAUAAUUAAUGCAUUUAGUUUUAAAAUUUAAACAGAGGACGAGAGCGUUCAAGAACUUACACUCCACGAUCUGAGUCGGGAUCGGGCCGGAGAGUUUGUUACCGGACAGAUCUAGAGUGACGAGGUAAGGAAGCCACGAGCAGAUUUGGGAAGGAAUCGCGCCGGAGAGAUCGUUCCCGGAGAGAUCUAAAGACUGUAGGCUCCGGCAGAGCUUGAGAGACUCGGGAAUCUGGCCGGCGAGCUGCAUAGAUUGGAGCUGGAGAGAGAUGAUGCGAUUCUCUUUCUCGUUCCAGCAGGAGACGCCGGUGAGCUUGCAAAUCGAUGAGGCUGAGGAGUUCGGGAAGGACCAGGAGGUGAGUCGUGACGAAGGGUCGGUGAGUGACUUCUUUAGGCCUUGGAGACAGAGGACGUCGUCUUCUGCGAAAGAAGAUAGAAACGAGCUGAUGAAGAGGAGCCAUAAGAGAGUCUUCAUAGGUGGAUCUGUGAAGAUGAUGUAUCUCUCUCUCUCUCUCUCUCUCUCUCUAGGGUUUGUUUUUCCUCAGAGAAGUUCGAUGGCGGAAAGAACGCUCAUUGACUGUGUUACUGAUGAAAAAAGGAGACAACUUUUUUUUUUCCUCUGUUUUGUUUGACUAUUUUUUUCUUUUUUUUAGUCAUUUUGCAGAGAUUAUAAUUAUUAAUUUGUUUAUACUAUUUGUUUGUUACUAGCUGGUUUGUUUUGUUUGGGAAAAGCAUCCAGUAACUAAACGACGCCGUUAGAAUAGCAUCUCUGAGAGUCAGAGAGAAGAUUUAAGUCAGUUUGGUAUCAAAUCCUUGAAAAGGAAAGGUAGUUAUUCUUUCUGGGUUGUCAAAAGUACAAAUCAAGAACUUACGACUCUUUCUUGUAAUGAUGAUACGACCAACAUAUCAAAUACUUGUAAUUAAUAUGACUUUAUUGGGAUUUAUUUUUAUUUAAUAUAGGCUGGCUCAUUCAUUACUCACAAGAGUAUAACUUGCAAGUUGAUGGUGAUAGAGAAAAAAAAGGUCAAACUAGAACUAAAAAGAUCCUAUGUUUUGGGCAAUGGGCUUGUAUACCGUUACUAACAUUUCAGCCCAAAAUGUGUUAGGGUUCGCUAGUUUUUUUCUUUCCGGUGACUUGUAGCCUAGGUGGCCGGAAAAGAGAACAGUAAACGAUAUAGCCUGUGGUAUGUUUGGAUAGAAAACCGCUUUUAAAUACCACUACUAUUUUACUUUCAUGAUUGGUAAUCGUCAAAUUGGUAAUAUCCGUUACCACUGCCAUAACGACAAUGAUUAACAUGUUUGGUCUAAAGAUUCCUUCAAGCUUUAUCUUUAUCAUCUUACUGACAACUUUCUUACCGACAAAAAUAUAGUCCAAACAAAAAUCCGAAAGACCUUGGUAAAUAAAUAUUAAUUCAAAAAAUAUUGAAAUUUACAAAUGUGGUAAACUCUAUUAAACAAAACAAAAUUAGAAACCAUUUCAAUUCUCUCCAACAAAAAAAACACAAUUAAAUAACAAAAGAAGUAAUAUUAAUGUAUACUCGUCAAAUGUACAUAAUCUCACAAACCAAGUAACCAAAAAAAAAAGAAGUCAAUCUUGUUGUAGUUGUUGUUGCCUCUGCCACGGCAAAUAACCAGUCACUUGAUCAGCAAAAUUAGACAAAACCAAAUCCUUCAAACCAGUAUCCCACACUUCACAGAACCGUCUGUUCCAAUCAACCGGCUCAAUAGCCUCUGUACCAAGCCCUGGAGCUCGAUCUUUAGACCCUUGGUUCUGAUUCUCUCGCCAGUCCACAACAUAAGUAGCCACUCUCCUCUGAAACUUCGCUUUAAAAGUAUCCCAAACUUGGUACUUGUAAUGGUUCACAACCGCAACACUCUCCAACAAACUCAUAUGCCCUACUCCUUCCCUCAUCUGAAAAUGAUGAACCUCGUUCAGCAACGAGCUUGUUAGCAUCUCUGGUCGGAUUAUCGACUUGUGUCUCUCCGGAUUCGCUUGUCUGCAAGUGUAACCUACCGUCACGCCUUGCGAUGGAACUGUAGUUAGACCGGACGGACCGUAACUAUGACAUUCGGUUCUUAUCUCUCCGACCAAACCCCACGAAGUGUAGUUAGACACAAGAGAGCUUAAAGCGUUUUUGCUAGGUAAGCCUUGAGAGCGAUGCGUGGGGAAGUAGUAGAACUCGUCCACGUCGAAGAACCCGACCCAGUUGCAUUCAUCUUUGGCUCUAACCGCACAAUGCGAGAAACCAGCUUCUUGAGUCUUGAU
rnacentral:lncRNA from 1 species